AGAAAAGUAACCGCCGCCCGCGCAGGGGCGACGCUAAUAGACCGAAACGAUCACAGGUGCUUCACGCCCAACGCCAGCGGACCACCCAAAAGCCAACG
rnacentral:sRNA from 1 species